CUUUUAGUAUAAGUAUGUCCCAUGCCAUAUCUGGGAUAUAGUUACAUUAAAA
rnacentral:pre_miRNA from 1 species